GUAUUUAAUCUCAAAAGAACCCCCUCCUAAGGGGCAGGUUACAGGUUCGAAUCCUGUCGGGAUCGCCA
rnacentral:tRNA from 1 species